GACGAACGCUGGCGGCGUGCUUAACACAUGCAAGUCGAACGGAAAGGCCCUGCUUUUGUGGGGUGCUCGAGUGGCGAACGGGUGAGUAACACGUGAGUAACCUGCCCUUGACUUUGGGAUAACUUCAGGAAACUGGGGCUAAUACCGGAUAGGAGCUCCUGCUGCAUGGUGGUGGUUGGAAAGUUUCGGCGGUUGUGGAUGGACUCGCGGGUUAUCAGCUUGUUGGUGGGGUAGUGGCUUACAAAGGCUUUGACGGGUAGCCGGCCUGAGAGGGUGACCGGCCACAUUGGGACUGAGAUACGGCCCAGACUCCUACGGGAGGCAGCAGUGGGGAAUAUUGCACAAUGGGCGGAAGCCUGAUGCAGCAACGCCGCGUGCGGGAUGACGGCCUUCGGGUUGUAAACCGCUUUCGCCUGUGACGAAGCGUGAGUGACGGUAAUGGGUAAAGAAGCACCGGCUAACUACGUG
rnacentral:rRNA from 1 species